UACGUAGGGUGCGAGCGUUAAUCGGAAUUACUGGGCGUAAAGCGUGCGUAGGCGGUUCGUUAUGUCUGCUGUGAAAUCCCCGGGCUCAACCUGGGAAUGGCAGUGGAAACUGGCGGGCUUGAGUGUGGCAGAGGGGGGUGGAAUUCCGCGUGUAGCAGUGAAAUGCGUAGAGAUGCGGAGGAACACCGAUGGCGAAGGCAGCCCCCUGGGCUAACACUGACGCUGAGGCACGAAAGCGUGGGGAGCAAACAGGAUUAGAUACCCUGGUAGUCCACGCCCUAAACGAUGAUCACUAGGUGUUGGAGAAGCGAUUUUCCUGUACCGAAGCUAACGCGUGAAGUGAUCCGCCUGGGGAGUACGGUCGCAAGAUUAAA
rnacentral:rRNA from 1 species